rnacentral:rRNA from 1 species
ACCGGCGCACGGGUGAGUAACGCGUAUGCAACCUGCCCUUUACAGGGGGAUAGCCCGUCGAAAGGCGGAUUAAUACCCCAUAAUAUGGUACCAUCGCAUGAUGGAACUAUAAAAGUUUCGGCGGUAAAGGAUGGGCAUGCGUGACAUUAGCUAGUUGGUAGGGUAACGGCCUACCAAGGCUACGAUGUCUAGGGGUUCUGAGAGGAAGGUCCCCCACACUGGUACUGAGACACGGACCAGACUCCUACGGGAGGCAGCAGUGAGGAAUAUUGGUCAAUGGGCGAGAGCCUGAACCAGCCAUCCCGCGUGCAGGAAGACGGCCCUAUGGGUUGUAAACUGCUUUUGUGCAGGAAGAACGACCGGAUCGUGAUCCGGGUUGACGGUACUGCAUGAAUAAGCACCGGCUAACUCCGUGCCAGCAGCCGCGGUAAUACGGAGGGUGCAAGCGUUAUCCGGAUUCAUUGGGUUUAAAGGGUGCGUAGGCGGAAUAAUAAGUCAGUGGUGAAAGCCUGCGGCUUAACCGUAGAAUUGCCAUUGAUACUGUUAUUCUUGAGUAUAGUUGAAGUGGGCGGAAUGUGUAAUGUAGCGGUGAAAUGCUUAGAUAUUACACAGAACACCAAUUGCGAAGGCAGCUCACUAAGCUGUUACUGACGCUGAGGCACGAAAGCGUGGGGAGCAAACAGGAUUAGAUACC